CACCACUCCCAGUUCUCCAACCGUGGGCUCUGCCUCAGCGCGGAGGCUUCUCCUGGACUGCAGAAUUGCAACUCCUAAGAUUGAGCAGAAAGAGAACGUGCGUAGAAGAUCAUCCCAAGAGAAGUUAAAAUGCAGCUAUCAGAGAUAAGCGGAGAGUCACAGUGAGGCGAGCUUCCUCUCAUGCAGCUAGAGGAUGUUGCCUCUCUGGCUGAAUUCACGGGAAGGAUAUAGUACGUAGCCUGACUCAAGAUGGAUGCCACUUACAGAGGAUAUGUGUCUUUUGUUUUACAAGUGCAUGUCCUACUCUGCGAGCAGUAAUCUUGCUCCGACAACAGAACGCUGGCAGUUUCCAGUUUCCACAGGAAGGCAGAGGAAGCUAGAGGACGCCGAUUAGGCUGCAGAUGUAGAAGAGGGAGCCACUGACACGACGGCCAAAACACUCCCUCCGGAGAACAGUGUCUUCAAACAUAAUUACUGGAAAGUUAAACUAUUGACAUUUUUUCCUUUAUAGCACUUCCAUCUCCUGUGUAAAUAUGGAAAUUAUUUUAGCACGAGUGAUGUAUUGUCAGAUUAGCUGGAAGUUGCUGCCCUCUUGAGGUUUCAUGUUUCAGCAGGCAGAUCUCUAAAAGACAAAUAAAAAGGUGCUGU